CUAGGCAGCAGCCGCCGGAAGAAAAACAUUGAACAACAAUUCCUCCUUGCGAUCUUUAGAUACUAAGAUCGUAUGUAAUUGUUUGAAUUAAUACCUUCGAUGGCGCGGAUACUGCCAAGUUCCAGGAAGCC
rnacentral:lncRNA from 1 species